AAUCCCAUGACUGAGGAUCUUCCAUUAGUCAUAGAUGUAUUCUUCAUCGAGGUUAAUUACUACGCCACUAAAAAAUUCUGCUAAUAGUUUUGAUGGGUCUUGAGCAGAUACUUUUCUAUUCUCUUUUGAAAGUUUCUUUUUGAUUGGAUUUAAGUAUGUCAUGCUGAUUCUUGAAAUUGGUUUGUUACUUCAGUCCAUCCUCCAGCUAUUAGUUCAUUCCAUGUUUCAAACGCAGAGUCAAGAUCAUGAAGUCUUGUGUUUUUAAGUCCUGCUGGUUCUCCUA
rnacentral:antisense_RNA from 1 species